rnacentral:rRNA from 1 species
UGAAUACGAGAUGCUACGGCGUCGAAGCAGUCUAUGUCAUACUUCCAAGAAAAGCUUGCACUGUCAUAAACAAAUAAUGCCUGUACCAUAACCGACACAGGUGGGUAGGUAGAGUAUACUAAGGGGCGCGAGAUAACUCUCUCUAAGGAACUCGGCAAAAUGACUCCGUAACUUCGGGAGAAGGAGUGCCUUAUUUUAUAAGGUUGCAAUAACAAGAUCCAAGCAACUGUUUACCAAAAACACAGGUCUCCGCUAAGUCGUAAGACGAUGUAUGGGGGCUGACGCCUGCCCAGUGCCAGAAGGUUAAAGAAGUUGGUUAGCAUCCGCGAAGCUGAUAACUGAAGCCCUGGUGAACGGCAGCCGUAACAAUAACGGUCCUAAGGUAGCGAAAUUCCUUGUCGGGUAAGUUCCGACCCGCACGAAAGGCGUAAUGAUUUGGAUACUGUCUCAGAGAGGGGCUCGGUGAAAUAGACUUGUCUGUGAAGAUGCGGACUACCUGCACCAGGACAGAAAGACCCUAUGAAGCUUUACUGUAACUUGAAAUUGAAAUUGGACUUUACUUGCGCAGUAUAGGUGGGAGGCGUUGAGAAUAUUCUUGCGGGAAUGUUGGAGCCAUCAGUGAGAUACCACUCUUGUAAUGUUAGAUUUCUAACUUUGUAUCAUUAUCUGGUCAAAGGACAGUUUCAGGCGGGCAGUUUGACUGGGGCGGUCGCCUCCCAAACGGUAACGGAGGCGCACAAAGGUUUCCUCUGAACGGGUAGAAAUCGUAUCUAGAGUGUAAAGGCAUAAGGAAGCUUGACUGUGAGACCUACAAGUCGAGCAGGGACGAAAGUCGGUCUUAGUGAUCUGACGGUGCUGAGUGGAAAGGCCGUCACUCAACGGAUAAAAGUUACUCUAGGAUAACAGGCUGAUCUCCCCCAAGAGUUCACAUCGACGGGGAGGUUUGGCACCUCGAUGUCGGCUCAUCGCAUCCUGGGGCGGUAGUACAUCCCAAGGGUUGGGCUGUUCGCCCAUGAAAGCGGUACGCGAGCUGGGUUCAGAACGUCGUGAGACAGUUCGGUCCAUAUCCGGUGUAGGCGUUAGAAUAUUGAGAGGAGCCUUCUUUAGUACGAGAGGACCGAGAAGGACAUACCUCUGGUGUACCAGUUAUCGUGCCAACGGUAAACGCUGGGUAGCUAUGUAUGGAGUGGAUAACCGCUGAAAGCAUCUAAGUGGGAACCCCACCUCAAGAUAAGUA